CGUAGGCCUGCUGAGGGCAGAUGAAGUGGAUGUGCGAGUCGAUGGCGCCCGCCGUGAUGAUCUUGCCCUCGCCGGCUAUCACGUCGGUGCAGCUGCCCACGACCAUGUUGGGCGUGACGCCGUCCAUGACGUCCGGGUUGCCGGCCUUGCCGAUGCCGACGAUCAUGCCGUGCUUGACCCCGAUGUCGGCCUUGUAGAUGCCGGAGCAGUCGACGAUGAGCGCGUUGAUGACGACCAGGUCGAGGGACUCGGAGUCGGGCCGGCCGGUCGCCUGGCCCAUGCCCUCGCG
rfam:Stachybotrys chartarum IBT 40288 unplaced genomic scaffold scaffold729, whole genome shotgun sequence.